rnacentral:lncRNA from 1 species
CCUUUUUCAGGUCUUUGGAUUUAGCUUUAGUUAUGAGAGAUCCAGAAUAAAGCUAUUCAACCGAAGUCAUCAAGCACAUGUGUCAUUCUUGCAAAGAUGAUUAAAUAAUAUCCAAGUUUUCUUGAAAGUUGAGUUUAUCUUGGAUGUGCCCAAAAGAAAGUAAUUCCAAGUGCACAGAAGGAAGAUGCUGGGAUACUUUUUUUUCUUUCCUGCACUUUAGUUUUCCAUGUUACAAUAAAUAAUAAAAACAAUGGACAUUGCAGAAGUACCACAUACAUGUUAAAUGAUCAUUUAAAAUGUGUUUAUUGUAACAGAGGACAUUAUGGGUGGAUGGAUGGAUGCAGGUGCCUGUGCACGUGUCUGCAAUUUACACACUCAUAGGCAAUGUGUGUUGCUGUAGGGACAUACAUGAGAAGAUAUGUUCGAAAGAUGUAUCUAAACCUGUAUACAUCCAAGCUGACAGACUCUAUAAGGUUUAGGCAAACUUACCUACCAGAGUUUAUGCUGUGGGAAAUGCCUGCUGCUAAUGGAACAGAGUGGAAGACUUCUAGGGAAUGAACAGACAGACCUGUGGCAAUAUCUUUUUCCCCCUAUACACCUGUGCCCCACUAAAAAAGAAUUAGCUGGUUAAUUCCAGGCAACCAAACUAAAAAACCUGUAAGGAAAGCUUAGGCUUUAGCCCUAAUCUGCCUCAGUCUCAACAGAGCCUUUUUGGUAACAGAACAAUGACCAUUUCUGGUCCCCAUGGGCUUUAUGCACUAGCCUGGCAGUCUCAACUGUUAGAUCUGUAUCUACUUAUGUAAGGCCCUAUGUUAUUUUAAUAAUUAUUUUUAUAUUUUAUAACCCAUUCUGAGACUUUCUAAAACAAAUACAGUCUGCCUUUCCCCUGCCUUUGGAAAGAAACAAAUCAUAGGUAGAAAAUAGGCAUUAGAACAUCCAUAUUUAAAGUCAAUGUCAUUAACUUAGGAGAUUUAUACAGCAAUCUGGGUGCACCUUCUUCCUUUAGAGAAGGUUUCUUGGCCUUAUUCGAAAGCUAGAAUUUCCUGCUGUUUUAGAGGUGACUUGCUCUUAGCUAAACAUACAAAAUUAUUAAUCUCUCCAGUUUUACAGGUAAACAUCAGAAUGUUGUAGGGAUACCAGCUCUACCCCUUCUCUGUCUGCCAUCUUCCACUCUCUCUUCCUAACAAGUCUGAAUCCCAAGGCAUCAGCCACAACAACAAAAAAUCAACUCUGAUCUGUUAGGAACCAUGACAGUUAUUGUCACAGUAUGUGUGUCUGGGCUUUGGGGUCAACCUUGAUCACACGUAUCUGUCUCUUUUUCUCUGAUUUUUGUUUUUUGUUUUUUCCAUAUACUCCAUUAUUCUUCAACAACAUUGGAACCGAGCCUGUUAUUUUUCUCUUUUUUAAAAUCUCUACUAUACAACCUCCUGAUUUCAGAGUUCACCACAAAGGUAUACUGUCAUGACACUUUAGUAACGAUAGUCAAAUAGACACUUGUGUAAUUCCACCAGCAUUUUCAACAGUGGGAAACUGUCCCCUCUGCACCUGGGUGGUAGUGAUAAUUUUUUAAAAAAUCUGUUCAACUUUAACUUAUUGGCACGAAUAGGUGGGCACCUAGCAUAGAUAAAGUAAAAUGGUCAAUCAUCUAAAAGAGACUGCAGAGGCAAUGCUUUGAUUUCUCCAAAGUGUCACGCUGGUUCCUUCAUGCCUCAUUCUCACCUGUACAACCUACAUGCUAUUUCACAUUUUGGAAAAGCCUUUAAAUAUUGUGGAUGAGUUUUUAUUGUUGUUGCUGUUUUCUUUUAGAAAAGAAAUAUAUUGGCUCUUUCUUUAAUAAAAAUUUCCUGGAAUGAAAGAUUAUAACCACAGUACCAGAAUCACUUUGAAAACAAAAGUAAAGCAAAUCUAUUUCCCUAAAGAAAUAAAAGUACUUUCCACUCAAUAACCUUUGGAUUUCUGUUGCCUCGAGAAUGUGAAUUUUGGUUCAGAACUGUCCCUUCUCACUGCCCUUUUCAUUACUGAUGGCUGAGACACACUGGGAAUUUUUCUUGGAUUGAGGAAAUGGAUUGUAAACUAUAACCAACUCCAAAGAGAAAUUUUUUUCCUGAAAUUAUUAACUUAAAAUAGGUUUUUAAAUGCUUGAGGACACUUACUUGGUCAAAUUCCAUUACCUUCCAGUUUUUAGGGGUUUUUUCUUUCAUUAUUUUUUUUUCAGUCAUGCCUGCAGCAUGUGGAAGUUCCUGGGCCAGGGAUGGAACCUGCACCACAGCAGUGACCAGAGCCAUAGCAGUGACAAUGCUGGAUCCUUAACCUGCUAAGCCACAAGGGAAAUCCUUCUUUUAGAUUUUUAACAAAUUGAAUUCUGUAGGGGUUAACUUUUUGCUACAUAAAUAUAUAGAUACAUGCAGGUAUUUAUAUAUGUAUGUAUAUAUAUUUUUUAGAAGCAAGCACUUCUCUCUGUAUGGCAUUACCUGGUAUGAGACAUUCAUCAAAAGUCCUUGGAAGGAAGUUCUUGCCGUUUUUACAUUUGACACCUUCCUCUGGUCACCAGGAACACUGAGAGAGUAUGUGUCUAUACCUGAUUUGACCAGGGUUGAAGUCUCAGGCCACAGAGGCAGCCUCUUUUGGCUCAGACAUCUUCAGAGGAUGCCAGAGACCCAAAUGCUGAGAUUAGCAUGCCAAAGAAUCACUAACCACACCAAGCAGGUUUGGUUCCUCAAUCCAAUCUCGAGAAGAACAACCAUUUCCACUGGCCACGAGUCACAAGCAUUCAUUUAGAAAUACCCAAGGUGAAAUUCAUUUUUACCAACCCAUAGGAAUGUUCCCAUGCUGAAAUAUGCUCUUUUCUUGGUCAUUUGACAAAGGAGACAUGGAGUAUGAACAAGAGACAAAAAGACACAGGGCAAAGUCAAAGGAACAUCCCCAGGUAGGAAGAAUUAUAAAAGCCAUGGAAAGUCUCUGUCAUGGCUCCAUGGCUGCUGCCCUUGCAAAGGGAGACAUGCAUGGUGGGAGCAAGGAGGUGGCACAAUGGACAAUGGGGCUCCCAAGGGCAGAACUCCAUGAUUCUCCCCAAACCCUGCUUUGUGUUUUCUCUCCAGGACUGAGACCCCACUCCACCCCCCAACACCACUGCCUCACCCCAGUGCCAGCUGUGGUUGCACACAGGCUUGUCUAAACGAAUUGGUAAUUACCACCCUGAGGAAACCUGAUCAACCCACUGCAGCAGGAGUUGGACUUCCCAUAUGAGAAGUCUCUUUGGUGGAUCUACUCACUGAGGGGGAUCUGGAACACCCUGAUGGGACACGCAGGCAAGUUCCUGGAGAACAGAUUUCUGGGCUGGUCUCAUCUCUGUAACUGGUGGGAAUGGACCACCAAGCUUUCCCAGCACUUACAGAAGACGAGCACCCCACUGGCCACGGCCCAGGUCUGUUUGAUGGACCUCACUCACCACCUUGAUCAUGGUUGAGGCAUAGAACAGAGAUGACUCAAAACACAAAUAAAACUCACUUCUACCAUGGAUUCCUUCAUCAACAGGUUGAAUAAUGAAACGCUUGAACUGGACUUUCAACCUUUCCCAGGAAUUCUUGCAGAAAUCCGAAUACUCCAAAUCAUCCACAGCAGCAAAUGUGCUCUGGGAUGGUAGGAGAAAUGAGCAAAAUUCUGAAUUGAAUACUUAAGAAAUGAAGCACUUGAUAAAAACAAGACAUGAAUUUGGACAGCAAUAAUUUGGGGUUAUUACCAAUGUCAAGUUGAAUCUAUAUAUGUAUUCAUAUAUUAUAUAUAUAUCUUUCUUUAGAAAUGCAACUUUACAGCUGAUUUUUAAAAAGCUAAUAGAAAAGUAGAAACUGACAAUUAUUUUUACAUGUUUCCCCCCACCCCCAAAUGAAGCCCUGUUAGGAUGUAGCAAUAACAUGAAGACGAGGCUCGUCAUUUCCUCUAUAAAUUCUUUGGUUCUGUGGCUCGGGAGAGGAUGUGUCACCAAGACCCCUACCCCUGACCCCUACUCCCCUCUCCUCCCCUGAUGAUGAGACUCUGAACAUAGAAGGAACCAAGACUAAGGGUUAAGCAAAAGAACAUUCAAGUGACAACGGUAUUCCCCACCCUCUGCAGAGCAGAGAGAAGUGUUCAGUAUCCCAACAUCCUAAACUUAGAGUCCAUGGAACCUCUUGAGAGAUUCCAUGUUGGGUAGAAAGCCGUAAAACAAAGUUAAAGGGAAACAAUAAAAUCAAAUAAAUGACCCUUUCCUUUUGUUGCUCAGAAACAAAAUUGAUUACCUUUACACAGAUCAAUGGCGCUAUUAGUAUUUAAGCCAGGCAAGAGGAGAUAAUGAACUGAAACAAAAGGUGUGAGAAAUCCUCAUCUUUGGUAUUGUAGCUGUUGAGGUUUCUGUUGCUCUGUUCCGUGUUCUUUUGAAAAACUGCAUAGGCACAAAUUAAAGACAAUCUUCAACUUUAAGAUUACCGUGUGAGUUGUCAAGUGAAGCAGCAGCCACGGACGCUUUUCCUUAUUUCUAUUCCUGUCUCAACCCUUUCUUUAAAAUCUGCUUCCAAAAAAUGUCCCAAGAGGUCUGUUUGAACACAGUGUGUCUCGCUGUUUUUCUGUUUCUUUUCUUUUUUUUCUGGCGUGCUUCCUUCUUGUUGGUGGUGAUUUUCAUUGAUUUACAUCUUUAUUUCUUUAUUCAUUUUAAUGGGACAGUUUUGUUUGUUGCAGAAGUAGGUGCAGAAAAA